CACCGGAGCCACAAGUGGAGAUCAGCAUUAUUUGGUCUAAAGCGUCCGUAGCAUGUUCAAUAACUCUUUUGUGAAAUUGUUAGGCUCAACUUAACAACGUGCAAGAGAAACUGUUGGGCUUGAGACCGGGAGGGGAUAGGAGAAUUUCAGGGGGAGCGGUAAAAUGUGAUAAUCCCUGGAAGACUACCUGUGGCGAAGGCGCCUAUCCAGAACGGGUCUGACUGUGAGGGACGAAGGCUAGGAGA
rnacentral:rRNA from 1 species